UUAGUACUAACAAAAUUUGUGCCAGCAGUAGCGGUUACACUAAUAGUGCUUCUAAAAUUUUUUGGUUAUGAUUAAAUUUAAUAUUAUUAUAAAUUUAACAUUUUGAGGUGAAAUUUAAAUGUUAUUAUAAUUUUUUUUUUGUUUUGAGGUCGCUAAAUUAAUUUAAAAACUAGGAUUAGAUACCCUAUUAUU
rnacentral:rRNA from 1 species